GGGUUGUGAGGUUAAGCGACUAAGCGUACACGGUGGAUGCCCUGGCAGUCAGAGGCGAUGAAGGACGUGCUAAUCUGCGAUAAGCGUCGGUAAGGUGAUAUGAACCGUUAUAACCGGCGAUUUCCGAAUGGGGAAACCCAGUGUGUUUCGACACACUAUCAUUAACUGAAUCCAUAGGUUAAUGAGGCGAACCGGGGGAACUGAAACAUCUAAGUACCCCGAGGAAAAGAAAUCAACCGAGAUUCCCCCAGUAGCGGCGAGCGAACGGGGAGGAGCCCAGAGCCUGAAUCAGUGUGUGUGUUAGUGGAAGUGUCUGGAAAGGCGCGCGAUACAGGGUGACAGCCCCGUACACAAAAAUGCACAUGCUGUGAGCUCGAUGAGUAGGGCGGGACACGUGGUAUCCUGUCUGAAUAUGGGGGGACCAUCCUCCAAGGCUAAAUACUCCUGACUGACCGAUAGUGAACCAGUACCGUGAGGGAAAGGCGAAAAGAACCCCGGCGAGGGGAGUGAAAAAGAACCUGAAACCGUGUACGUACAAGCAGUGGGAGCCUCUUUUAUGGGGUGACUGCGUACCUUUUGUAUAAUGGGUCAGCGACUUAUAUUCUGUAGCAAGGUUAACCGAAUAGGGGAGCCGAAGGGAAACCGAGUCUUAACUGGGCGUUAAGUUGCAGGGUAUAGACCCGAAACCCGGUGAUCUAGCCAUGGGCAGGUUGAAGGUUGGGUAACACUAACUGGAGGACCGAACCGACUAAUGUUGAAAAAUUAGCGGAUGACUUGUGGCUGGGGGUGAAAGGCCAAUCAAACCGGGAGAUAGCUGGUUCUCCCCGAAAGCUAUUUAGGUAGCGCCUCGUGAAUUCAUCUCCGGGGGUAGAGCACUGUUUCGGCAAGGGGGUCAUCCCGACUUACCAACCCGAUGCAAACUGCGAAUACCGGAGAAUGUUAUCACGGGAGACACACGGCGGGUGCUAACGUCCGUCGUGAAGAGGGAAACAACCCAGACCGCCAGCUAAGGUCCCAAAGUCAUGGUUAAGUGGGAAACGAUGUGGGAAGGCCCAGACAGCCAGGAUGUUGGCUUAGAAGCAGCCAUCAUUUAAAGAAAGCGUAAUAGCUCACUGGUCGAGUCGGCCUGCGCGGAAGAUGUAACGGGGCUAAACCAUGCACCGAAGCUGCGGCAGCGACACUGUGUGUUGUUGGGUAGGGGAGCGUUCUGUAAGCCUGUGAAGGUGUGCUGUGAGGCAUGCUGGAGGUAUCAGAAGUGCGAAUGCUGACAUAAGUAACGAUAAAGCGGGUGAAAAGCCCGCUCGCCGGAAGACCAAGGGUUCCUGUCCAACGUUAAUCGGGGCAGGGUGAGUCGACCCCUAAGGCGAGGCCGAAAGGCGUAGUCGAUGGGAAACAGGUUAAUAUUCCUGUACUUGGUGUUACUGCGAAGGGGGGACGGAGAAGGCUAUGUUGGCCGGGCGACGGUUGUCCCGGUUUAAGCGUGUAGGCUGGUUUUCCAGGCAAAUCCGGAAAAUCAAGGCUGAGGCGUGAUGACGAGGCACUACGGUGCUGAAGCAACAAAUGCCCUGCUUCCAGGAAAAGCCUCUAAGCAUCAGGUAACAUCAAAUCGUACCCCAAACCGACACAGGUGGUCAGGUAGAGAAUACCAAGGCGCUUGAGAGAACUCGGGUGAAGGAACUAGGCAAAAUGGUGCCGUAACUUCGGGAGAAGGCACGCUGAUAUGUAGGUGAAGUCCCUCGCGGAUGGAGCUGAAAUCAGUCGAAGAUACCAGCUGGCUGCAACUGUUUAUUAAAAACACAGCACUGUGCAAACACGAAAGUGGACGUAUACGGUGUGACGCCUGCCCGGUGCCGGAAGGUUAAUUGAUGGGGUCAGCGCAAGCGAAGCUCUUGAUCGAAGCCCCGGUAAACGGCGGCCGUAACUAUAACGGUCCUAAGGUAGCGAAAUUCCUUGUCGGGUAAGUUCCGACCUGCACGAAUGGCGUAAUGAUGGCCAGGCUGUCUCCACCCGAGACUCAGUGAAAUUGAACUCGCUGUGAAGAUGCAGUGUACCCGCGGCAAGACGGAAAGACCCCGUGAACCUUUACUAUAGCUUGACACUGAACAUUGAGCCUUGAUGUGUAGGAUAGGUGGGAGGCUUUGAAGUGUGGACGCCAGUCUGCAUGGAGCCGACCUUGAAAUACCACCCUUUAAUGUUUGAUGUUCUAACGUGGACCCGUGAUCCGGGUUGCGGACAGUGUCUGGUGGGUAGUUUGACUGGGGCGGUCUCCUCCUAAAGAGUAACGGAGGAGCACGAAGGUUGGCUAAUCCUGGUCGGACAUCAGGAGGUUAGUGCAAUGGCAUAAGCCAGCUUGACUGCGAGCGUGACGGCGCGAGCAGGUGCGAAAGCAGGUCAUAGUGAUCCGGUGGUUCUGAAUGGAAGGGCCAUCGCUCAACGGAUAAAAGGUACUCCGGGGAUAACAGGCUGAUACCGCCCAAGAGUUCAUAUCGACGGCGGUGUUUGGCACCUCGAUGUCGGCUCAUCACAUCCUGGGGCUGAAGUAGGUCCCAAGGGUAUGGCUGUUCGCCAUUUAAAGUGGUACGCGAGCUGGGUUUAGAACGUCGUGAGACAGUUCGGUCCCUAUCUGCCGUGGGCGCUGGAGAACUGAGGGGGGCUGCUCCUAGUACGAGAGGACCGGAGUGGACGCAUCACUGGUGUUCGGGUUGUCAUGCCAAUGGCACUGCCCGGUAGCUAAAUGCGGAAGAGAUAAGUGCUGAAAGCAUCUAAGCACGAAACUUGCCCCGAGAUGAGUUCUCCCUGACCCUUUAAGGGUCCUGAAGGAACGUUGAAGACGACGACGUUGAUAGGCCGGGUGUGUAAGCGCAGCGAUGCGUUGAGCUAACCGGUACUAAUGAACCGUGAGGCUUAACCUUACAACGCCGAAGGUGUUU
rnacentral:rRNA from 1 species